CGAGCUGCGAAGCGCGAAGGAUUACGCGAAGCAAACGUAGAGAGACGAGUAGUCGACUGACUUCCGAUAACCAGCGUUAAGCAUUGUUUGUUCAUCAAGCGUUGUUAAUCGUUAACUGUUGUCAAUCGUUGUUUGUUGUUAAUUGUUAUUUGUCGUCAGUUGUCAAAAGUCAAUAUAAACGUUAUUGCUGAAAAUCAGGAGUAUUUCUUGCGCGCGCAAUCAAGACAUAUACCGCCUCAGAAUAAUCUUUUUGCUUCCCAGAACGCUUUGCUUGCUUUGAGCUUCAAAAACCGCCCGAAAUUAAUGCCUCUAGACUAGAAUACUCCGUUAAUGUGGAAUGACUUUGUAUUUAGGGUCUCUUCAACGAGUUUUACUGCGUUUUUCGGAUCUUCGUUUGUUGUGGGUGAUGUAUAU
rnacentral:misc_RNA from 1 species